AGAAAUAGGUAAUUUAAUAAUUGGUCUUGGUGUUUACGUUGUGUAUGUGUUGCAGUACCAAGUCAAAUAACACCAUUAAUUGAUAAUUUUAUUGAAAAAAUAUGUAAAAUGACAUGUAAUAAUAAAGAAAUAUCUGGUUAUAGUUGUGCUCUAUCAGCAAUAAUUGGUUGUGUACUUUUAUCAUCACUUGGUAUACCACAUACAAAAGGUAAAAUAAUAUUUAAUACUGCUGAAAAAUGAUUACGUACAGCAAAUACUCAUAGUCGUCUUGCAUUAAAUAAAAUACAUGCAAGUUGGUUGUUAAUUGGUUCAAUAAUGACACUUGGUACUGGUGUUGUUAAAGGUUUAUGACUAAGAAUGUUAUUAUUAUGAAAAAAUUCAUAUCCAAAAUCACCAGGAAAAUUGGAAAGUGAAAAAUCACGUGGUAAUUUAAAUGCAAAUAACACUUGAAGGUAGAGCUGGUGCAUUGGCACAAGAUAAUUCAUCACCAGUUGUACAAGUAUGGUCAUUAUAUGAAUUAUCAUUAAUUGCUGAUUCUAGUGGUCCAAUCUAUCGUGGCUAUAUUGAACCAACUUUAUCAGUUGUAUUAACAUUAUUGCUAAAUGUAUCAUUUUCAUAUAUUGAUAUUUAUCAAUGUAUUGGUAAAUUAUUAUCAGCACAACAAUUGGUCCUGAAUUACAAGGUACAUACAUCAUCAAUAAGUAUGGCACGUUCAUCAUUUUUAUGUGCAUGUGGUAUAAUGCAACAUCAUGAAAACCCACUUGUACACAAGCUGAAGCAACUGGUUGUUUAUAACAAUUACAUUUAUUUGCACCAAAACAUGUCAAUUUAUCAUCAUUAGUAUCAAAUUUAUGUCGUACUACAUUAAAAUUAUCAAUUCAAAUUGUAGACAGUUCAGCAGCAAUGGAUGAACGUAAAUUAAUACCUGGAAAAGUUGUACUUUGGGAUCAUGAAAUUGCUGUUGAUUGGGCUGAUCCAGUUGAUAAACAAGUCAUGGAAACUGUCCAGGAAGUGUUGCCGCGUAUCAUCAAUGGGAAGUACGUUGGGUAAAAUUAAUUGGUUCAUCAAAAAUGUUGAAAAGACAACGUUCUAUUGAAGAAGCUGUUGCUGC
rnacentral:lncRNA from 1 species